rnacentral:lncRNA from 1 species
GAAUAGUCGGAGUGCUAAAUUAUCAGUAAUACGAGGUUUUCGUACUACAAAGUUAUUUUUAAUGAUGCGAUUUUCAAAUUAACGAUCGGCUUUGUUAAACUUGAUUUAUACUAUUAAAAGUAUUUUAAAACUAAGUUUUGUAAUUUUUUAGCAUUAUUUAUUUAUCAAAUUAGCAGUUUAAAAAUAAAUUGUGAAAAUAAAAAUCUCAUAAAAAAUAAUAAUUAAAAUUUUAAAUUUAAGGUCAGAGAUAUUAAUCUUAUUCUAAAUAGUAAAAAAAAAAUUUCUAUAAAAAUUUUAUCAUAUUUGAAUUAUUUUACACCGUUAAAUUCGCAAACACAUUAUAUCGACUAAUUAAUAAAAUUAUCAAUUUUGAGACACUAUUUUGAUUACUAGCCAAAUAAUAUUAAAAAAUAUAAAAUUUGAUUUUAAAAUAUUUUUAAUAUUAUAGAUCAUAUCUAACGAGGCCGAUACAUGAUUCAAAAAUCACAUCAUGGAGAUAUCCCUACUACUACGACAGCCUAGCUGGAAAGGGAAAUCUAUUUAACUACAUUAAAGGAGGGUUUGGGGGACCUUAGAGUGACACGUGUCCCCACAACCCUCCUAUUCUCUCUCUUUCUACACACACACACACACACACACACACAUAUAUAUAUAUAUAUAUAUAUAUAUAUAUAUAUAUAUAUAUAUAUGAGUGAGGCUACUAUACUAUCGGAAGCAUGGAGCCUUCUGUGCUUCCAGCUCGUUUUCGAUGUUGCGACUUUCGAAUUGUUGAUCGGCUCCGUUAAACUUGAUCUAGAGUAUUUGGAGUACCUAGAAAAUAAAUUUUAUUAUUUCUCGAUAUCAUUUGCCUAGUGAUCGAAUGGGCUCAAAAUCAACAAAUUUCAAUGGCCGUAGUGUAUCGUUUGCAAGUUUAACGGUGUAGAAAUAUUCAAAUCACGUGAAAUUUUGAUAGAAAAUUCUUGAUACUAUAUAAAACAAGAUUAAUAUCUUUGAUUUAAAAUUUUAAUGUCAUAUUAUUACAUUUUGUAAGAUUUUUAUUUUCAGCCAUUGAUUUUGAGCCCUUCGUUCACUAGGCAAAAAUAAUAAUCUAAAUCAUAAAUUUAUUUCUAGAUACUUCAAAUACUCCAGAUCAAGUUUAACGGAGCCGAUCGACGAUUCGAAAGUCGCAACAUCGAAAACGAGCUGAAAGCACGGAAGGC